UACGGAGGGUGCGAGCGUUGUCCGGAAUCACUGGGCGUAAAGGGCGCGUAGGCGGCCUGAUAAGUAGGGGGUGAAAUCCUGCGGCUUAACCGCAGGGCUGCCUUCUAAACUGUCAGGCUGGAGCACAGUAGAGGCAGGUGGAAUUCCCGGUGUAGCGGUGGAAUGCGUAGAGAUCGGGAAGAACAUCAGUGGCGAAGGCGGCCUGCUGGGCUGUUGCUGACGCUGAGGCGCGACAGCGUGGGGAGCAAACGAGGAUAGAAACCC
rnacentral:rRNA from 1 species